GUAAAUAUGAUGCAAGAUCGACUAUGUCGAAUAAAAUUCUAGGUAGAAUUAUGAUAAUGACAUUGUCUGCCUAUGUGUCUUGACCAAAUUACGUGCCAGCAGUCGCGGUAAUACGUAGAAGACUAGUGUUAUUCAUGUUUAAUCGGUUUAAAGGGUACCUAGACAGUAAAUCAAGCCUAAAAGGAAAUAAAUGAAGGGACUAAUUUACUAGAGUUACUUAUGAGGGGGUAUUAAAGUACUGCUGGUGUAGAGAUGAAAUUCUGUCAUACCUCUUUUCAAUUGAAAAAUAAUGGCACAGGUAUAGGCGAAAGCAUCCCCUUAUGUGAUAACUGACGUUGAGGGACGAAGGCUUUGUGUAGCGAACAGGAUUAGAUACCCCAGUAGUCAAAGCAGA
rnacentral:rRNA from 1 species